rnacentral:rRNA from 1 species
AUUGAACGCUGGCGGCAGGCCUAACACAUGCAAGUCGAGCGAGCGGCGGACGGGUGAGUAAUGUAUGGGGAUCUGCCCGAUGGAGGGGGAUAACUACUGGAAACGGUAGCUAAUACCGCAUACUAUCGGAUGAACCCAUAUGGGAUUAGCUAGUAGGUGGGGUAAAGGCUCACCUAGGCGACGAUCCCUAGCUGGUCUGAGAGGAUGACCAGCCACACUGGAACUGAGACACGGCCCAGACUCCUACGGGAGGCAGCAGUGGGGAAUAUUGCACAAUGGGCGCAAGCCUGAUGCAGCCAUGCCGCGUGUAUGAAGAAGGCCUUAGGGUUGUAAAGUACUUUCAGCGUGGAGGCGUUACUCGCAGAAGAAGCACCGGCUAACUCCGUGCCAGCAGCCGCGGUAAUUC